UACGGGGGGGGCAAGCGUUGUUCGGAAUUACUGGGCGUAAAGGGCUCGUAGGCGGCCAACUAAGUCAGACGUGAAAUCCCUCGGCUUAACCGGGGAACUGCGUCUGAUACUGGAUGGCUAGAGUUUGGGAGAGGGAUGCGGAAUUCCAGGUGUAGCGGUGAAAUGCGUAGAUAUCUGGAGGAAUACCGGUGGCGAAGGCGGCAUCCUGGGCCGGCAUUGACGCUGAGGCGCGAAAGCCAGGGGAGCAAACGGG
rnacentral:rRNA from 1 species